AGGGAGCAGGCCGCUGUCGCAGCCGACUUUCAGGAUGGGGAGGUUGCAAUCCUAAACCAUAUGCCCAGGCCUUGCAUUAUGCAGGAUUCUGCUGAUUGCUGUUCAGAAACGGUGCUGCGUUUCAGUAAUGAAGAUAACAAGAUGGCGUCUUGUAGAUCUCUUCUGCUUAGUUGGCUCCUUUAAAGCGCAGGAGUACAGCAUGCUGCUCGGGUUCAUGGAAAAUAGGGGUGACCAGCAUUCAUUGGCUACUCAGCCACGUGUUUGGUGGCUCCUGCACUGGGAAGCUUUUGUACCACGUUUUGGGUCCUUAUUUGAGGAACUGUGUAAAUGUGCAGUGACAUCUCUGGGAGCUGCUUGCAACAUCUGCCAAAAAAACAGCCCCAAGCUCAGAACUGUAGAAUGCUUCGACUUCUCCUGUAAUUAAAAAAAACGCCCCUGCUGGUUCCCUGUAGUCAGAGCUGGUUCCCAAGAACCAAGGGAGAGAUGCAGGGAGAGGUGGCGCACUGGGUGUAAUGACUUCACCCUGGCAGGUCCUGCCCAGCUCACACCACAUGAGGGCAGUGGUUGCAUGCCCAGAGCCAGAUCGCUCUCAGGAUGAAAGGCCUCAAAAAGCCAAGCCUGAUCUGAGCCGUCUCUCAGAUCUUAUUAUUAUCGUGUCAAAUACUCCUAAAUUCAAAGAUAUGCUGGGCUUCACAGGGUGCCUAAUGAGCCUGAGGCACCAACGGUAAUAUUUAAAACUAAAACAUAUAGAAGUUGACAGACCUCUUGCUGGAGCUCAACGUGAACUAUGUUGUAGACUUUGAUAGAGAAGACAGCAAAAGCGUCACCGCUUUGUGUUUUUUUGUAAUGUAACUUCAUCAAUCUGCUUAAAAAAUAGGAAAUGGUUCGGCUGCAUCUUUCAGGGAUGGGGGGCCAAGCUGUGCUUUUUCUAAUUUGCAGCUGGGACUGUCAUUUCUUAUGUGUUUUUACAG
rnacentral:lncRNA from 7 species